rnacentral:rRNA from 1 species
GACGAACGCUGGCGGCGUGCUUAACACAUGCAAGCCGAACGGAAAGGCCUGCUUUCCCUUGUGGAUUGCGGGUACUCGAGUGGCGAACGGGUGAGUAACACGUGAGUGAUCUGCCCCCAACUUGGGUAUAAGCCUGGGAAACUGGGUCUAAUUCCCGAUAGGACUGCAGGGUGGUGCCUGUGGUGGAAAACGAUUUUCUCGUGGUUGGGGAUGAGCUCGCGGCCUAUCAGCUUGUUGGUGGGGUAAUGGCCUACCAAGGCGGCGACGGGUAGCCGGCCUGGGAGGGUGGACGGCCACAUUGGGACUGAGAUACGGCCCAGACUCCUACGGGAGGCAGCAGUGGGGAAUAUUGCACAAUGGGCGGAAGCCUGAUGCAGCGACGCCGCGGGGGGGAUGACGGCCUUCGGGUUGUAAACUCCUUUCGACCGCGAGGAAGCCACCUGGUUGGAAGGGUGGUGACGGUAGUGGUAGAAGAAGCACCGGCUAACUACGUG